GCCGUAGCUGAGUGGCAGGGCAUCUGUUUUGCAUGCAGAAGGUCACAGGUUCGAUCCCCAGCAUCUCCA